rnacentral:rRNA from 1 species
GACGAACGCUGGCGGCGUGCUUAACACAUGCAAGUCGAACGGAAAGGCCCUGCUUUUGUGGGGUGCUCGAGUGGCGAACGGGGGAGUAACACGUGAGUAACCUGCCCUUGACUUUUGGAUAACUUCAGGAAACUGGGGCUAAUACCCGAUAGGAGCUCCUGCUGCAUGGUGGGGGUUGGAAAGUUUCGGCGGUUGGGGAUGGACUCGCGGCUUAUCAGCUUGUUGGUGGGGUAGUGGCUUACCAAGGCUUUGACGGGUAGCCGGCCUGAGAGGGUGACCGGCCACAUUGGGACUGAGAUACGGCCCAGACUCCUACGGGAGGCAGCAGUGGGGAAUAUUGCACAAUGGGCGGAAGCCUGAUGCAGCAACGCCGCGUGCGGGAUGACGGCCUUCGGGUUGUAAACCGCUUUCGCCUGUGACGAAGCGUGAGUGACGGUAAUGGGUAAAGAAGCACCGGCUAACUACGUG